UACAGAGGGUGCAAGCGUUAAUCGAAAUUACUGGGCGUAAAGCGUGCGUAGACGGUUACAUAAGUCGGGUGUGAAAGCCCCGGGCUCAACCUGGGAAUUGCAUUCGAGACUGCGUAGCUAGGGUGCGGAAGAGGGAAGCGGAAUUUCCGGUGUAGCGGUGAAAUGCGUAGAUAUCGGAAGGAACACCAGUGGCGAAAGCGGCUUCCUGGACAAGCACCGACGUUCAGGCGCGAAAGCGUGGGGAGCAAACAGG
rnacentral:rRNA from 1 species